UUAGUACUCCCUCCGUCCCAAAAUUCUUGUUUUAGAUUUGUCUAAAUACGGAUGUAUCAAGUCACCUUUUAGUAUUAGAUACAUCCGUAUCUAGGCAAAUCUAAGACAAGAAUUUUGGGACUGAGAGAGUAGAAA
rnacentral:pre_miRNA from 1 species